rnacentral:rRNA from 1 species
UACGUAGGCAGCGAGCGUUGUUCGGAAUUACUGGGCGUAAAGAGUGUGUAGGCGGUGCUCUAAGUUCGGUGUGAAAUCUCCUGGCUUAACUGGGAGGGUGCGCCGGAGACUGGGGUGCUCGAGCGUGGGAGAGGAAAGCGGAAUUCCUGGUGUAGCGGUGAAAUGCGCAGAUAUCGGGAGGAACACCUAUGGCGAAGGCAGCUCGCUGGGACGUUACUGACGCUGAGACGCGAAAGCCAGGGGAGCAAACGGG